UAUCAAACUCAGAUGUUAGACGUGAAGGAUAACGUUGCGUCAGCAACGGCCCGAAGGGCGAGGCGAAGCCGAGUCAUCCUGCACGACCCACCA
rnacentral:sRNA from 1 species